UGGGGAAUAUUGGACAAUGGGCGAAAGCCUGAUCCAGCCAUGCCGCGUGUGUAAAGAAGGUCUUCGGAUUGUAAAGCACUUUAAGUUGGGAGGAAGGGCAGUAAGCGAAUACCUUGCUGUUUUUACGUUACCGACAGAAUAAGCACCGGCUAACUCUGUGCCAGCAGCCGCGGUAAUACAGAGGGUGCGAGCGUUAAUCGGAUUUACUGGGCGUAAAGCGUGCGUAGGCGGCUAAUUGAGUCGGAUGUGAAAUCCCCGAGCUUAACUUGGGAGUUGCAUUCGAUACUGGUUAGCUAGAGUGUGGGAGAGGAUGGUAGAAUUCCAGGUGUAGCGGUGAAAUGCGUAGAGAUCUGGAGGAAUACCGAUGGCGAAGGCAGCCAUCUGGCCUAACACUGACGCUGAGGUACGAAAGCAUGGGGAGCAAACAGG
rnacentral:rRNA from 1 species